GGUGGUUUGGGGGAGUUGCUUUGGGAUUGCUAUAGCAGGUGCGACUUUAAAAAAAAAAUCACAUGGAACUUUAUCAAGUGCAUUUGGAAACAGUUGGAAAUUAGCCAGGAGGAACAUUCUCCUUCAAUCCCUUAGACAUCCAGUUGUGGGCUUGGAUUAGGCCCCUGAACAGCUGAGUUAGGAGGACACUGACACCUUGUCACACUUUGAAGCUCUUUAUUCCCUCCUCACCCUCCAACAAAAGCACCAGAGAUUGCCCUCCCCUAACUACACACACACACACACACACACACACACACACACGUCCAGCUGCCAGAUAUGCCAGUUCUCUUUCAGAGAACACUAGACAGUGAGUCCAGGCAAGUUACCAUGGUUCUCUAUUAUCGCGUCCAGCACAUCAGGGAAUGGAAAUAAGUGUGCACAUGUUCUUAAAGGCCCUUUGGGAAAGAUCAGUGGGGCUGCAUGGGGAACACAAUGGCAGGCUUUGUCACAAAGAAAGGAUUUGGGCUGGCAGGCAGCAACAGUCCUGCUGGACACAGAGUUUUUCUGCAAAGGCAGUGGGGGGAAAACCAUGUGCUGGAUUACACAGCAUCCUCACUGGGAAAAGUAGAGCAUUUUGUGUAAUUAAAAGUCAUCCUGAAGACAUCAGGCUGCAGCCCUUACAACGUAAGCUUUGGUGAUUGGUGGAGUGAUGAGGAAGCCCAGAGAAAACCACAGAAAAGGUAAUACAACUCGUGAUGUGGGGAAUGGAGUAGAGAGAAGCUGUGGCUCACUGAAAUUAAGCUGAGUCACCCUGUUGUGUAAACUACUAACAGAUAGUCACUUUCAAAAAGUGAUCAAAUAAUUGAGUCAUCAGAGAUAUAUUAAAGGGCUUCCCUGUGGCUCAGAUGGUAAAGCGUCUGCCUGCAAUGUGGGAGACCCAGGUUCAAUCUCUGAGCAGGGAAGAUCCCCUGGAGAAGGAAAUGGCAACCCACUCCAGUACUCUUGCCUGAAAAACUCUAUGACUGUUGCCUGAGGAGCCUGGUAGGCGACAGUCCAUGGAGUCGCAAACAGUUAGACACGACUGAGCGAUUUCAAAAAAUGAUCAAAUAAUUGAGUCAGCAGAGAUAUAUUAAAAGCUCAAUAAAUAUGUACGGCUGAGCCCUUUCA
rnacentral:lncRNA from 1 species